rnacentral:misc_RNA from 1 species
GGGWGAAGUCGUAACAAGGUAGCCCUAGGGGAACCUGGGGCUGGAUCACCUCCUUAAACGAUUUGCCAACCCGUCUGUAAGUGCUCACACGCAUUGCUUGAUCAACUGGAAUCAAUAAAGAUUUGUUAGUCGCUAGUCCCCUAGUGNUUGUCGCUAGACGCCGCGAGUUACUUUGAAAGGUAAGCGGCCGACAACUAGUGUCUACAGACCAAGAAUAUAGGCCUGUAGCUCAGCUGGUUAGAGCGCACCCCUGAUAAGGGUGAGGUCGGCAGUUCGAGUCUGCCCAGGCCUACCAACUUCCGUGUUACGAAGUUCCCUAAGAAGGGGCUAUAGCUCAGCUGGGAGAGCGCCUGCCUUGCACGCAGGAGGUCAACGGUUCGAUCCCGUUUAGCUCCACCACUCUUUUAUUGAUUAAAGAAGAAGUCAGUCAAUUACUGUCUUCGCUUUACAUUCCUCCUAAGCCAAUCGUUAAGCGAUUAGAAAGAGAGGAAUGAUUAAAUAAAGCUAAGAACGUAACUGACUGGUUUUUACGCCAGAAAGCUCUUUUAACAAGGUGGAAUGUAAA